GGCCUCCCCACCCCCCCCCUCCGCCCCCCUUCUCUUCUCCCCUUAGCCGCAGCGCCAGACGGAGCGAGCGGGCGAGCAGGUCGGAGUAAAAACAAAAAGUCUCUGAAAACACGCGAGUUGUCAGCAAAGUUCUGUGCCUUCGCGACGCCUGCCCUGCGUGGGGUGGGGCAGUGCUGUGGGCUGGUGGAUGCUGACACCCACCCGUGUUGGGGGGUUCUCCGGCCAGUUCGGGCCACAAAGAGUGGACCCGACAGAGGAGCUGAGCCCACACAGAUGCUCGGUCACUGCCAAAGACAACAGCAGUCGGGGUGCAUGGACUAGUACCCUGAAAAAACAGUGCUUACCAGUGUCGGGGCCUUCCCGUGAAAAGUUAACGUAUGCUGCUACUUUCACUGGUACGUGGGGUUAACCGGGUGCUGAAAGAAAAUGUCCACAGUGAACGUACCUCGGUCAGUCUGGUGGGCUUCUGAAAGAUGGGUGUCUCACCCAAGCUCCCAAGUGAGGUGCUCUGCACAGUUGAUGAACACAGGUGUUUCAAGAUUGUUCGCUCUUUCUCAAGGCAGAGGGGAUGACUCUUAAGCUGCCUGCCUUGUUAUCUCAGAUAGAGAGGAACUUGAGAUAAUUGACAUUAGAUGGCAACCAUGGUCUUGGCUGACCUGUCAAUUUAUGAGCAUCCUGAAGUCCUACCUUUCUAAUGCAGUUGGAAUAACAGCAGAAAGAGCCCUUAAUAGCUAGGGUGAAGAUGAGAAGACAUGUUUGGAAAUAAGGUAGGAUGCCUGUCUGUUCUCCCAGCGUGGGAACUCCUUCAAGAUCCGUCCCCGGGUUAUUACUGCUCAUGGGAACCCACCACGGACCACUAGUACUUCUGUUUGAAACUGCUCAACUUUACUUUGCUGCAUCUGUAACGGCGCAAGGGUCCUUUGGCAGUUACAACCCUUAUUUACAAUUUUCCAUGCCACUGAGAAGCACUUGACCUCAGCAGAGAGACUGACAAUAAACCCAGUAUCUGAGACAGCUAAGUAAGAACUGGAGGAGGCUAACGAUGCCUGCAUGUGAUUAUUUGAGGCUUGAUUAUCCUCCUUGAAAGUUUGUUGAAAACUGGAGAGUGCAGCAAGCCAACCAAAUUAGCUGCCAGCUUAGUAGGUACUUCAGUGAGGACUUCCCAAUUACAAGAUGCACUUUGGUUUCCUUACGUGUUGGAGAAUGAACAGCACAUCUUGUCAGUAGACAGAAAAUCACCAGAGCCUGAAAUUCUCUGGAGACUGCUCUGUAGACAUCUAAAAAGUCCUUGGUUCACAGUCACCAACUUGUAAGUUAACUCCCGCUGAACAUGUAGAAGGGGUCACUGAGCUUGGGAUUCUGAUGGGGCUUUGAAGGGAUGGGCACAUAGAAAUUAGGCAUUGUGAUAAGAAUCUAAAUUUGGGUUUGGAUCUGUCCUUUAAUCCUUUGCAAAAGCCAGUGUCUAGUGGAAGUAAUUCAGGCAAGCACUGUGUCAGUCCACUGCACUCUCAUCUUUGUAAUUACCUUUGAUCCUUGAAUAUACAACGGCGAGCAAGAAAACACAGUCUCAAAGACUUCCCCACAUAAAUGUAUGGAUAUAACCAUGGUAGCAGCUUCUCUGUGUUUGACAUUCCAUUUUCUAAACUGCUUUCCAGCCAUUCAGAAGCACAGUGCUAUAAGUAAAUGAAAUCUGUGAUUAGCAAAAGGAUUUCAUGAAUACAUUUUAUGCACUGGAUAAAACUUGUUGCAUGUGGUAAUUUUUGAACAUUACUGGGUUGAUAGAAAUAUGCUGUUACGACACUUGUGUGGCAAUAUUCAUAGUAACUAAAAUAAAUAAAUAAAUAAAUAAAUAGAUACUGCUGACAUUCCCA